rnacentral:rRNA from 1 species
AAACUGAAGAGUUUGAUCAUGGCUCAGAUUGAACGCUGGCGGCAGGCCUAACACAUGCAAGUCGAGCGGAAACGAUGGAAGCUUGCUUCCAGGCGUCGAGCGGCGGACGGGUGAGUAAUGCAUGGGAAUCUGCCCGAUAGUGGGGGAUAACCUGGGGAAACCCAGGCUAAUACCGCAUACGUCCUACGGGAGAAAGCAGGGGAUCUUCGGACCUUGCGCUAUC